UGGUUCUCUCCCAGCAGAGGAGAUUGAGCGCGCGGUCAUCGCAGGUGUACGAGCUGCACUUCAAAGUGCACUUCCAACGCAACCACUCACACCAUUAACGGUCUCCGGACUACAGACUAACUCGCAGGUUCUUCCAGCAGUGCCCAGAGGCGCGGUGACCCAGUUUUCAACCGCAGUCACUGCACAAAGAUCAGAUGGACAUGCCUUCAUUUCCAAAGAAGAUAUCGAGGGUCUGUUGUUUCAAGGGACAACUGUUUCUGAAGCAGCCUCUGCUUUGCAUAUUUCCAGACCCACAUUAUACAAACUCAUGCGGGAAUACAACAUAAGGCACACCAGAUUUACUGAGAUUUCUGAUCAGGAACUGGAUGUAAUGAUAUGUGCCAUUAAAGCUGAACAUCCUCAUGUAGGAGAAGUUAUGCUAAAUGGGCAUUUGCGUGCCAGAAACAUUAUUGUCCAAAGACGUCGUCUCAGAGACUCAAUUAAAAGGGUUGAUGGUGCUGGUGUUGAGUCCAGAAGGGCAACAACAAUACAGAGGAGAGUGUACACUGUGCCCUUCCCAAACUAUGUAUGGCACAUCGAUGGCAAUCACAAACUGAUCCGAUGGAAAUUAGUUGUACAUAGUGCAAUGGAUGGCUACAGCAGAAUGAUAACUUUUCUCCAGUG